rnacentral:rRNA from 1 species
AUGCCAACUUACAUCUUCUCACAAUCUUUCAGUUUGCUAACUCUGCAUGGUCAAGUUAGAACUCUCAAGGUUCAGGACAGUUUAGGCAAUAUACCUCAACCUGGAAACAUAUAUAAUCCCAAUCAUCAACAAGCAACUCUGUCAAAAAACAACCCUUCCUCAUCUUACAAUAUGGAAGCAGAUAGGAACACUUUCCCUCAACAUGCUCAAGAUCGGAAUGAUCAACUUGCUGAACACAUAUACCAUGGAUCAACUUCUAAUCAGAAUAUAGCAGCUACUACUCACUCUAAUUGUUUUGAAGAAAAUGCUAAUCCUACAGAAGAUAGAUUAGAUGCUGAUUCGCCGAAUGAUAAUCAAGCGUCCUCAGUUGAUGCUAUAGGGAGCACAAGACGUUCAUCUACCAGAUCUCAGCAAAGUGCUGGCAUGCUCAAUAUCUCACAUUCGAUUCCUUUCAAUGAUGAAACAGAGGAUGGAAAAAGCAAUGGACUCAAAGUAAUCUCACUGGACCGCAGUAAAGCUGCCACUGGUAAUUUUAGUGAAUCCAACAAGAUCGGAGAAGGUGGAUUUGGUCCGGUUUACGUGCUGUUGCGUGCGAAGAAAGGAGCUGUCGCUGCUGCUCCCCUUGUCCAGAUCGACGAGCACCAUGGAGGGGCCCCCUGA